UACGGAGGGUGCAAGCGUUAUCCGGAUUUACUGGGUUUAAAGGGAGCGUAGGUGGGUCGGUAAGUCAGUGGUGAAAUCUUCGAGCUUAACUCGGAAACUGCCAUUGAUACUAUCGAUCUUGAAUUAUCUGGAGGUAAGCGGAAUAUGUCAUGAAGCGGUGAAAUGCUUAGAUAUGACAUAGAACACCCAUUGCGAAGGCAGCUUACUACGGAUAUAUUGACACUGAGGCUCGAAAGCGUGGGGAUCAAACAGG
rnacentral:rRNA from 1 species